UUUUUUUUUUCAUUUAGAUAAUGCCAAAGAGCACAGCCAAAGCCAUGAGGGACGGGGAGUGUGACAAGGGCUGAAGGGAAGCAGAUGGAAGAGAGCUUGCCCAUGGAAAGGCAGCCUGGCCACCAGUGUUGGUAAGUCCCUCCCUGCACAGCAGCUCAAGGACAGUUCAGAAAGCAGCUCCAAGCAUUUCCAGCAUGGUGCCCAUGAAUAAUUAACCCAAACAAAACAACAAACAGUGUUUCCUCAUCAGCAUGCCAUGUGGACCCAGCUGCCAACAGAGGAGUGUGGUGAGACUGACUCAGCUCCUGAGAGCAAUGAAUCCCUGAAAUGCCCAGGAAUGGGAAUUUCUGCCUGGGCAGAGCAGCAACAAGGAGCUGAGGAGGGCCCUAGAUGGGGAGAUGGGAUAUCUGAGCCUCUUGUGACUCCUUCUCAGGAUUCUGCACUGCUGCCUUUCUUCAGAGCAGGAAGAGCUGGUUUGGUUGCUGUCCUUCAAAUGAUGCAUCUCAUCACAUGGCAAAGAGUAGGAAAAAAACCACAAACCACCUAGAAAGAGCCACAGGAGCAGCAGAAAAAGAGGUAAAAUAACUGGAUCCAUUUGAGGUAUUUCUGCUUUGUUUUUCCUCUAUGCCACAAUCUAAUGCCAAGCACUUGAGAACAGGGGCUGUGCUCUGAGGAACAAGAACUGACUGGUUUUUUUCUUUGCUUGCUUGUUUAUUGUGUUGUUUUUCCCUGCAAGGGAUUUGUUUAAUGCUUUGCUAAUAGAACUGUGCAACUCUUUAGUGAUGAAUCAUGAAAUACCCUGAGCUGGGAGGGACCCACUGGGAUCAUCAGCCCUGCACAGACAGCCCAAAAACCCCACCCUGAGCAUCCAUGAGAGCUCCCUGGGGAGCCUGGGCAGUGCCAGCACCCUCAGGGGGAAGAACAUUCCCCAGCAUCCAAUUAAACCCCCCUGACACAGCUCCAGCUGCUCCCCAACAUUUCCAGUCCCAGUGCUGGGAAGACAGAGGGAUUAUCUCUUCUUACUCUGUGGUUUUACACUGCCUCUUCUAUUUUCCCAUGCAGCCUCUUACUCCUGGUUGCAGGUAUCCUUCUGUUUGCUGAGUGGUGGGAUCACACCUCUCAGCUGCUGUCAGAACAGGUGGAAGCCACUUCUUAUAGUGGAAUUUAGACACUGGGGGUUUACCUGAGUCUGGCCAAGAAUGCUGCAUCACCAGAUGGGCAGAGGGAUGCUUCCAAUCCUCUUCUGGACACACCUAGGGGAAAAAUAAGUCUUUUAUUCAGAUGUCCUGUCUCUCCUUGCUUUCCUAGGUCCUUCAAAACCAGCCAGGCUCUUUGGAGUUUUGCCUUUCUGCAAAAGGCAGACUGACCUGAGCUGGAUUAGGUCCAGAAUCUACUCUAACACCUCCUGCCUGCAGCUGGCAGCUCUGGUCAGCUCUGGAAGGCUUUUUGCAGCUCAGGGGGAUACCUGUGAUGACUAAAUUAACCGUGGUGGUGUGGGGAGCUGCCUGGAUUCCAGAAAAGAUGCUGACAGUAAGAACUACUGUGAAAUGGAUGUUUCCCUGUCUGUGAGCACAGGUGUGGCCAAGACCAAGGAGCAGCACUGGAAGGUGUGGUAGGUCCUGAGUGUCCUGCAAGAUGGAGAAGUUUGAAACUCCACCCUGCUGCUCUGUGGAUGGGACUGCUGCUUCUUGGGACUGUUUAUCUUUGGGAUCCUGCUACUGCUGGAGCAUCACACACAGGAUUAUCCAAAGCAUUCCUGUUUGCCUCCUCCUUGGAGCUGCAGCCAGGCCUUUGCAGCAGCUCCUCCUGAGCUUCAGGAGCAGAAGACAAGCCCAGGCAGGUCACCUCCAGCAGGAGCUGUGCUCCACUCAGGCAGCUCAGGCUGGGGCACGUUCCAGUGGCUCCUCUGUGCUUCUCCUGUACCUGAGACAUGCAUGCAUCAAAUGUUUCAGUUUGCAGGGCCAUCACCCUGGCAGCUUUCCUUGCUAAAUUCACUUUUUAAAGCUCCAUCAGUGUUGUCUCCAGAGGGGAUGGAGGAACAGAUGCAGCUUGUGAAGUCUGGCUUUAAUUCACCCGCCUCAUUUAAUUCCCUGCCCUGCCUACUAAUCAAGGAGUCUGCACUAGAGCUCUGGGAGUACCACGGGUUUUCCACAUCCUGGAGAAUUCAACACAGUGCCUGAACUCCCAGGCUCUCAAGCAGGCUGGCACUUUCCUUUGAGGCCGCUUCAAUGUGGAUUUCCCUCCCCAGAACCCUUGCAGACACUCUCCAGCCCAUGAGCUGCUGCUCAUUUCAGAGCUGCUUGCAGGGCAGCUCUGUCCCAUUGUCCCCGCUCAGCCUGGGUGACAUUCCCUCCUGGAAGGGCUCUCCUUCAAGGGUCUCAGCCCCAGGUUUGCUUUUCAGGGCCUGAAAACACUUUUUGCUGGGCUGUGCUGUGUCAGACACACUGCUGGGGCCAUUUCACCUCCCAGGGCUCCCAGUGGGACCAGCAGAGCCUGGCAGGGGCUCCUUUCUCCCCCUCAGCCCCUGAGUGUGUCACUUCUGUGCCAGCAGAGAGAAACACAACUUUCCCAGGCAUCCAUCUGGGAAAAGUCUGUGAGAAGAUCAGAGAAAAGAAUGAGAAACAAUUCUUAUCUCAACUUGCUACACCUAGUGCUGGAAACAUGCAAAAUGUGUUAUGAAGAUUUGUUCACCAAAAAGCACUUUUUAAAUUAACCAAUAGUAAUAGUGUUUUAAGUAAAAAAACAAUUAAGUCAAUCUGUAGCAAACUAGUCUAUAAAAGAGCAAUGUGUUUCUUAGUUAAAAUACAUUACUCAACCUUCUGUAAUACAUAAAGCCUAUAGCAGUGAUUACCUGGCUGCUGUGAUAACUUCCAGGUGUCCCUUCUCCAAGGACAGCACAGUGCUGCUGUCAAGCACUGCCUAAGGGCUGUCAGGAAGCUCCAGUGAAAGGAUUUCUGGCACUUUUUGUUUAAGCAGACUUCCUCUCUCUGUACUGGAUUUGUUUUUUGGGCUGCUGUUAAUUGCAGCAGUGGAAUUGUUGUUUAAUCAGCUGGUGUCAAAGGCUGCCUUUGCCUGGUGUACCUAUUUUGUGACACCACUGCUUCUCCUCACAUGUUAUAAUCUGUACCAGAUUGCUCUUUGCCUGCUAAAAUGGACAAUUAGGUUCCAGUUGUAAUGCAAAUCACAGAGUGGAAUAAAAGCUGUGGGGAACAAAAUCCCCAGUAAGUAGUUAUGUCAGCCUUUGUUAUGGUGUGAUGACUUCUGCUCCUGCUCCGUGAAGGAUCAGGGGGAGAGAAUCUGUUGUGCCUUUGUGUUUUACAGGCACCAGCUCGAUGUAAGGCUGCCUUUAGGCACUGGCAGUCCUGAUAGUGUGUGUGCAAACCUAACAGACACAUUCCACCCACACUGGAAAUUUGAUGAUUGCCUUGUUUUUUCGAGGCUCUGUUUUAUAUACUACAGGCCAUACCCAUGGGGUAAUUGCCAGUCUCUGCACAGGGGCUGGGAUGAGAGAGAAGCACAGAGAUGCUGAAAUUUCAGUCUGCCACAUCAUGUGCUCCUAAUCCUUAUGGCCCUGUAAUUGUGAUGCUGUCACCGGUGGCAUUGCAGUUGUUCUUCUCACUGUUUUCCAUGUGCUAAAUAUUGUAAAUGAAGAGAAAUAUUUAGAUUUGUAAAGGAAUCUAACUUUACUGUGGAAUUAAACACACAGGAGCCUGAAAA